AACGAACGCUGGCGGCAUGCCUAACACAUGCAAGUCGAACGAGACCUUCGGGUCUAGUGGCGCACGGGUGCGUAACGCGUGGGAACCUGCCCUUAGGUUCGGAAUAACUCCCCGAAAGGGGUGCUAAUACCGGAUAAUGUCUUCGGACCAAAGAUUUAUCGCCUUUGGAUGGGCCCGCGUUGGAUUAGCUAGUUGGUAGGGUAAAAGCCUACCAAGGCGACGAUCCAUAGCUGGUCUGAGAGGAUGAUCAGCCACACUGGGACUGAGACACGGCUCAGACGCCUACGUGAGGCAGCAGGGGGGAGUAUUGGACAAUGGGCGAAAGCCUGAUCCAGCAUUGCCGCGGGAGUGAUGAAGGCCGUAGGGUUGUAAAGCGCUUUGACCCGGGACGAGAAUGACAGGACCGGGAGAAUAAGCACGGGCUAACUCCGUG
rnacentral:rRNA from 1 species